AUAACGGUCCUAAGGUAGCGAAAUUCCUUGUCGGGUAAGUUCCGACCUGCACGAAAGGUGUAAUGAUUUGGGCACUGUCUCAACGAGAGACUCGGUGAAAUUAUAAUACCCGUGAAGAUGCGGGUUACCCGCGACAGGACGGAAAGACCCCAUGGAGCUUUACUGUAGCUUGAUAUUGAGUAUUUGUUAAACAUGUACAGGAUAGGUAGGAGCCAGAGAAAGUAGGACGCUAGUCUUACCGGAGGCAAUGUUGGGAUACUACCCUUGUUUGAUGGAUCCUCUAACUCACAGAGCUGAGCGUUCUGGAGGACAGUGUCAGGUGGGCAGUUUGACUGGGGCGGUCGCCUCCUAAAGUGUAACGGAGGCGCCCAAAGGUUCCCUCAGAAUGGUUGGAAAUCAUUCGCAGAGUGUAAAGGUAUAAGGGAGCUUGACUGCGAGAGCUACAACUCGAGCAGGGACGAAAGUCGGGCUUAGUGAUCUGGUGGUACUGCAUGGAAAGGCCAUCACUCAACGGAUAAAAGCUACCCUGGGGAUAACAGGCUUAUCUCCCCCAAGAGUUCACAUCGACGGGGAGGUUUGGCACCUCGAUGUCGGCUCAUCGCAUCCUGGAGCUGAAGUCGGUUCCAAGGGUUGGGCUGUUCGCCCAUUAAAGCGGUACGCGAGCUGGGUUCAGAACGUCGUGAGACAGUUCGGUCCUUAUCUGUCGCAGGCGUAGGAUAUUUGAAGGGAGCUGUCCUUAGUACGAGAGGACCAGGAUGGAGAUACCGAUGGUGUAUCAGUUGUCACACCAGUGGCAUGGCUGAGUAGCUAAGUAUCGAUGGGAUAAACGCUGAAAGCAUCUAAGUGUGAAGCCCACCCUAAGAUAAGAUGUCCCAUACCGUAAGGUAGUAAGAUUCCACGUAGACUAUGUGGUUGAUAGGUUGGAGGUGUAAGUACAGUAAUGUAUUGAGCUGACCAAUACUAAUAAAUCGAGGGCUUAACCAC
rnacentral:rRNA from 1 species